rnacentral:rRNA from 1 species
AGUGAACGCUGGCGGUAGGCCUAACACAUGCAAGUCGAACGGCAGCACAGUAAGAGCUUGCUCUUACGGGUGGCGAGUGGCGGACGGGUGAGGAAUACAUCGGAAUCUACUUUUUCGUGGGGGAUAACGUAGGGAAACUUACGCUAAUACCGCAUACGACCUACGGGUGAAAGCAGGGGAUCUUCGGACCUUGCGCGAUUGAAUGAGCCGAUGUCGGAUUAGCUAGUUGGCGGGGUAAAGGCCCACCAAGGCGACGAUCCGUAGCUGGUCUGAGAGGAUGAUCAGCCACACUGGAACUGAGACACGGUCCGGACUCCAACGGGAGGCGGCGGGGGGAAAUAUUGAACAAUGGGCGCAAGCCUGAUCCAGCCAUACCGCGUGGGUGAAGAAGGCCUUCGGGUUGUAAAGCCCUUUUGUUGGGAAAGAAAAGCAGCAGGUUAAUACCCCGCUGUUCUGACGGUACCCAAAGAAUAAGCACCGGCUAACUGCGU